GGGCCUGUAGCUCAGUUUGGUUAGAGCGCACGCCUGAUAAGCGUGAGGUCACAAGUUCGAAUCUCGUCAGGCCCACCA
rnacentral:tRNA from 1 species